CUCUUGUUAAGGGUAAAUAAUUUUUUUACAAUCUAACAUUUUUUAUUGCAUCUUGGAAACCAUGUCGCUUUUCACGCUUUUAUUUUGUACGAUCGUUUGCGGAUUUUCAGCCGUGACGGUUAACGGAGGUGAUUACUGUACGAUUGACGUCACGUCUGUAACAACACGGACGUCAUAUUGUGAGCAUGGAUGUUGUGGUGACGCCUAUGAUAAUACCAGGGACUGUUGCGCCGAUCCUGGUACCAGCACAUAUGUAUACGUAGGAGGGAGUAUCGGUGGAUUUGCAAGCUUUGUAAUCAUCGUACUUUGUAUAUGUUAUUGCUGUAAAAAAUAAGGGAAAGAAAAAAAGAAACAACAUUACUGUAUGCUACGAAGUAAAAAAAAGACAACAACACCGUGUUUACAACAAUGUUAACAAGAAUCUCCUGUGAUAUACAAACGUAUUGUGAUAAAAGACAGAUUUUGUUAUUGUGUUUGUUUGAACAGUAUCAUGUAAUUAACGAUUAUAUAAACAUUCUGUAACUUUAUUUUUUUUAAAAAUAUUCUCAAUUGUUUGAAUGUCGAUGUCGAUUUUUAUAAAUGAUCCAUGUUAAAAAAAAAAGCUCUGAAAAAAAGUUUCAUAGAAAAAAAAUUCCAAAAGAGAAAAAGUGCACGUUUUUACUUUAUUGCUAACUUUCUGAAGAAAGUAUAACGUUGUUCUGACUAGCGUGGCUCGUGAGUAAUGGUUUUGUGAGACCGACCCCGAUCCUGCCCAAUCUUCUCUUCAAAACCCCAAACUUUGAAUAGCCGAUAAACACCGCUGAGAUCGAUAAUAUAUUAGUUAUUAAGAUUUUUGAAAGGUUAUUUAUUUAUAACACAAACCACUUAAAUUUUACAAAUUAUAAUUCAACGGAAUAUUGGCCUAUAUAUCACACAUACUAGAAUAGUCCGUAUUUCUUGUACAAGAUCAACAUGAUAUAGGUAGCACAUAGAAAAUGAGGAAAAUGCAUCACUAUCAUUCCGAAAUAAACCGUUCAUCCGGACUUUUGGUCCGAUUUUAACAGGGUCAGUAAUUGGGGUGUAUUUAUAUUUUGUUAAUUGUCAGAGUUGUUUCCCUUGGACCUUAAUUAAAUAGUUGUUUCCCGUAAAA